AAUGAUGACCACAUUAGUUUGUAGCUCUCUUGUUCACAGAGUUGCCACAGACUCGUCCUUUAUUUGGCAACUCAGUGUUGCGUCCUGCAUUGAGCCAACACGGGACGAGAUUUGCUCCGUAUGUCUCUUUAAAUAAACAUGUUCAAAGACAACUAUGUAUUUUUAUGUGUUUCAGUUAGUUACAAAAGUAACAUUAAGUUAUCAAUUUCUUUAGUUUGUAUUUUUAAUGUUGCACAUUUCACACAAACAGAUUUCGUGUAAGGUUUUAUUAACUGCACUUCAUGAGAGAAGGAGUUCGUUAGUAACACAGCAUUUCAAGUUUUAACUUUGACUAAUUGCGUUCUUGAUUAACACUUUACUAAAAACACCGGAAUAAACUAAAACAAACGCCCCGCCCACUGGAGUCGGGCCAAUCAAGUUGUUCCCGGUGGAUACGUCACAAGGAUGCUGGAAACAGGAAAAAAUGGUCGCGGCGGGUGACGUCAGACGCCGAAAAAGUUUGCUGCGUGCAUAACAAGCCACAGGUGUAGCCAGUUGUUCUUGUUGGCGGCUCGACCAGGUCCGGAUAUGAGGCUCAGAUAGAAAGAAUUGGUGGGAUUUCUGUGCACGGAGACCAGGUCAAAGUUGUCCAGUGUCAGAGUGAACCCCUGAAAGUGAAAGAUAAGAUUGCUCAUCCUGAAGAUCUUCAGCACAGUAAGGAGCGUUGUUUUAUUUCCUUUUAUGCUCUACCAGGACGCCGUUCCUUGCUAAAUGUGUGUGUUUGAAUGUGUUACACACAGCAGUACAAGGCCUCUUGGCUGCCGUGCGUACUCGUCUCCUUCAUGUUCCAGUCUCUCCGGAAUGUUUUUACCUUCUUAAUGUAGGGUUCUCUGGUUUAUAUCAUUGAAACGUUCUAUAGUUUAGAUGUCCUGUUUGCGGUCUGUUUUUUGGACGUUGUGGUUGUUUUCCACAGUUUUGGGAUGUUGCUGUAAUUUUCCACAAUUUGGAUGUCCCAAUUGUGGCCCUUUUCCAAAGUCUUGGAUGUUUCGGUUGCAGUCCAGAGUGACUACCUGGAUUCUAGCUAGUCCAGGACUUGCCUUGUACUUUUAUCUUUAUGUAUAUUUGUGCGAUUACGGUCUGUGAUGUCGUUCUGUAUGCACUUGGCCACCUCUGGUCUCCAUUGUCCGCAUGACCCUCCAUCUUGAUCAGCUUUAUCUGUGGUGUGACCUUUUGGAUUGGUUUAGGGCUGAGUGAUUUGGCAGUGAUUGGCAGAUGGCAUUCACCUGUGUUGGUUUAAUUUACUGGUGUUCAGUCGGGGUUAAUUGUGUUGAAGUGUUCUAUGAUCAGUGUAGGUGGGUGGGUAAUUUAAGACAUGAAAUAUUUUCUCCACUUGAAACCACUGCAGUAUACUGUAGUAAGCCAGCUAAAAUUGGUAAAAAAAAAAAUUGUCGCACAUGAAUACUAUGCAGUGCGAUGCUUCAUUUAUCCACUGCCUUGUUGCUGUGCUUCAUUCCUUGGUUUGUUUAGUGUGACGUUCCUGAAAAGCAUGUAGCUGUCGAUAAAGAACAGAAGA